CUACGUGCCAGCAGCCGCGGUAAUACGGAAGGUCCAGGCGUUAUCCGGAUUUAUUGGGUUUAAAGGGAGCGUAGGCUGUUGGUUAAGCGUGUUGUGAAAUGUAGAUGCUCAACAUCUGAAUUGCAGCGCGAACUGUCCGACUUGAGUGCGCGGAAAGCAGGCGGAAUUCGUUGUGUAGCGGUGAAAUGCUUAGAUAUGACGAAGAACUCCGAUUGCGAAGGCAGCUUGCUGUAGCGUAACUGACGCUGAAGCUCGAAAGUGCGGGUAUCGAACAGGAUUAGAUACCCUGGUAGUCCGCACGGUAAACGAUGGAUGCUCGCUGUGUGCUUAUUUUUAGUAUGCGGCUAAGGGAAACCAUUAAGCAUCCCACCUGGGGAGUACGCCGGCAACGGUGAAACUCAAAGGAAUUGACGGGGGCCCGCACAAGCGGAGGAACAUGUGGUUUAAUUCGAUGAUACGCGAGGAACCUUACCCGGGCUUGAA
rnacentral:rRNA from 1 species